rnacentral:rRNA from 1 species
AGAGUUUGAUCCUGGCUCAGGACGAACGCUGGCGGCGUGCUUAACACAUGCAAGUCGAGCGAUGAAGCUCCUUCGGGAGUGGAUUAGCGGCGGACGGGUGAGUAACACGUGGGUAACCUGCCUCAUAGAGGGGAAUAGCCUUUCGAAAGGAAGAUUAAUACCGCAUAAGAUUGUAACUUCGCAUGAAGUAGCAAUUAAAGGAGUAAUCCGCUAUGAGAUGGACCCGCGUCGCAUUAGCUAGUUGGUGAGGUAACGGCUCACCAAGGCGACGAUGCGUAGCCGACCUGAGAGGGUGAUCGGCCACAUUGGGACUGAGACACGGCCCAGACUCCUACGGGAGGCAGCAGUGGGGAAUAUUGCACAAUGGGGGAAACCCUGAUGCAGCAACGCCG